CUCAGGAAGUAACCUCGGGGUCAUGGUUUCCACCUAGUGGGGAGAAUUCUUUAGUCAAUAUUCAGUUCAGAUGUUCAUUUCUCUCCAAAAGUCAGGGUGGCCUGUGAUAGCCCUUUCAUGGCUGUGGGCAGAGGAAAGGUAUUUUGGAGCAGGCAAAUGGCAGCAAUUCCACACUGUAGGGUGCGCCUUGGAGAAGAGCCCAGCUUUUCACAGUCUUGCAUUUGCACGAGUCUGUGCAUUCAUAAGUAGGAAUAGAAAUAGCUAGAGUUAUAUAAAGAUGAGUGAUGAAGACUCUGAACUUUAAUGUGUGAUGCUGUGAAAUCAGAGAAUACGCUAGUAACUCUCCCAAUCAGGCUGUAAAUAUGGACACACAUAUACUGUUACAGAACCCAGGAGGAUUCUUGCCGCACUCUGAGCAGGGCUUACAGAAGGAAGAUAAGGGGCUGGGGACAUGGUAGAGCACCUGGCUCGCAGGCACAAGGCUCUGGGCUUAACUCCAUCAUGGCAAGAAGAUGAAGAAGAAUGAGAAGGAGAAGGACAACAGAAGAAUGGGACCAUCAUAGAACUAUUAACCUUACAGGCAAGGAUGCAGAGGCCAAGGGGACCUUCCCAAAUGACAGAAGGAUGCCCCUGGGACCAGCACCCUGGCCUCAAGUCCACUCAGCCAGUCUUGGAAAAAAGACAAGGGAAUUAUUGGUUUUCAGAAGAAGACAUUAUGCAAUGUAAACAUUUGUAUCCACUCUCAGAUGAGUUGUAUUUCCUGAUUUGAUGAACAUAUCCCAGAGAGUAAAUAACCGUGACAGAGAAACCAGCCGAGUCUUUGCUUGGAGUUCUCUCUUUCUUUCCUUUUACAUGGGCUGUCUGACAAUGGUGCAAACAGUUCUACUCACUUCCUUCUCCUGGUUUCUUGGCAUGACAGGAAAUAACUAACUUGAGGGCACUGACAGUGAGGGCACGGGGGAAA
rnacentral:lncRNA from 1 species